rnacentral:lncRNA from 1 species
UCUAAAUGGAUGGGUGUGACAGGAAUGUGAAUAUUCAGGUCCUGGGGUGAGUUCAAGCAAUUGUUAAAGCUCACUCCAAAGUUGUAAGAGCAAUUCUAUUUAAAUGUGGGUGGAAAACUAGGUUACUUUUACACUGAAUAAAGCUAUGAAAUACUGCUGUCUUUUUAAGUGCUACAGGGAAUGGAUGCCAGCAUGGUAUCCCAGGGAAUGGUAAAUUCUUAAUGUGCAGAAUUGGAAAGCACAUCUUUUCUAAAGGUUGGGGGGAGUGAUAUGAAAGAUUGAAAAGCUUUAAAAGACACAGCUGCAAAGCCAGCUACUGUGUAUCCUUGAGAUGUUCCUACAAGGACUCUGUGAUGUACAAUGCCAAAGGAAGAGAGAUCUAUGGAGUCUGUUGAGACAAGAAAGAACAGCACUGGGCACAGAACAGCAGUGGACUGUCAAGCUCGUGGAUGGAUUAUCAAUAACUGAACAAAGAAACGUCCCUCCCGCUCACAAAAGGAACACAGCAAAGAAGGGAUCUCACAAGCAAAGCUGCCACAGAGACGAAAGUGGGUGUGGUGGCACUAAACAUGCCAUGGGAUUCAUGCGGUCUGCAAGAUCUCACAGGCAUUCUUAAGGCUGCCUCUGUUAGUAUGAAAAGCAGGCGAGAGUGAUUUGAAGCAGGUUCAAGGCCAUCACUAACCCAAAAUGUGUAUGUGUCUUUGUUCACGUGUAGAUAUAUAUGUGUCUAAGUACAUGUACACAUCUGUAUAGAUAGAAAGACACACAUAGUCAACACUUAGUAGUCCAUGAGCCUACUGCUUCCUUUCCUGCUUUCAACUACACCAGUAAUGGCUGUUCACCGUUGUCUCCUCUUCCUGUAGUGUCUGCUUUUGUCUUCAGCAUCAGAUAUUUUAAUAGCAGCGUGAAAUUGUUCUAAUGAGUGACUUGAAACAGAAACCCAAGUCCUUUAGAUUACAGAUGUUUGCAUCAGAGCUGCAGCUUGCAGAGAUAAUACUUGUUUAGUGGAUGAGCUGAAUAUGGCAGUUCAAGUAGAUUUCAGCAGGUUUUCAUUUACUUAGCCUCACAGCGAAUCAGCUGAAUGAUACUGUGGUACCUAGAGUUAUCUGCUACAACAUACCCUUCCGUCUCUGAAGGUUAGGGCCAAGGUGAUCACAAAAUCAUAGGUGACUGCAAGGAGGGAACCUUUCAGAUAUUUUGAAGGUCUUAUACAGUGCAGAGUAAUGUAGAAUAGUUAUGCUCCUCAGUAAGACUGGGAAAAGCAACACAUCUUUAGUUGAAACUAGUCUUGGUAAGGGCUGUACAUGCAGAAGACCUGGUGGAACAGGACAAAAUGU